rnacentral:lncRNA from 1 species
UUCCAUGUCAACUUCGACUCUGGAUCAGUUGUGUAAGUGGUCCUUUCUUCCGUAGUUUUUUCUUCUUUGGUUUUCCGUUCUGGUUUCAUGGUACUUUCAAAGCAGAGCAUCCGGCAAGGCAGAGUGCUAUCGAGCUCUUUCUUUCCAAGCACAGCAGGGCCCGUCGUCCACUUUCGCCAGGACUUCUCCCGAGAGCAAAUGCAGGAGCUUCUGGCCGUGAUCCGAGAGCUGCCGAGCGGAGGUCUGGAGUUCACCCCAGUGACUUGCGGUGGGCGAUUCAGGCGCUUCCAGCAGUCGGGAGGGAUUUGCAGCGGCAGUAUAGCAACGAUCGGUGGACGGGCAGCAACAACAACGACGAUGGAAACAACCGAAGGGGCUGGCGUGGUCACGGAGACAACAACAACAGUGGAGACUGGAGAGAGGCACCCGUCCCUCGUCGCUGUGAGAGUGCUGCUUGCAUUUCUCGGCUUUCCAUCUGUCGUUUGCUUCGUCGCCACCACCGCAAUGCUCGUGAGCUUGUAAGUUCUCCUCCUUGGCUCUUUGUGUUCUAGUUUCGUGAGCUUUGGCUUUCAGAAGAGCAGUGAGCAGUGACAAAUUUGUGGCGAUUUGGACUUUUGCUUGGACAGGCAAGUUGGUGUUCUUGUUUUCUUUUGUUCGUUGAAAAAGUACAGCCAAGAAAUUCUUCGUCCGAAAGCACGGAAGAUUUCUGGCUUUG